UACCGUGAGGAUAGAGGGCUGUAACGCGGU
rnacentral:piRNA from 1 species